CUAAACUCGUGCCAGCAGCAGCGGUAAUACGAGUACCCCGAGCGUUAUCCGGAAUUAUUGGGCGUAAAGGGUGUGUAGGUGGCGAUGUUAGUCUUCCGUCAAAACCACGGGCUUAACCUGUGGAUCGCGGAAGAAACGGCAUUGCUAGAGUAUGUGAGAGGUGUGUGGAACUCAUAGUGUAGGGGUGAAAUCCGUUGAUAUUAUGGGGAACACCAAAAGCGAAGGCAGCACACUGGCGCAUUACUGACACUGAAACACGAAAGCGUGGGUAGCGAAUGGGAUUAGAUGAACGCUCGCUUUGCAAUUUUGAAAAGCACGAAAAUUUUCUGUUGAAAAUUUUCUCCGUCCGGCGCCAGUCGCGCCUGCCGAGGCUUUUUAAAAUUGAAAGCUCGCUCCCGUGGAGGGAGUGAAAAGAGCAAAUGUCUCUUCCAGUGGUAACACUGGUCGAAACCGCAGUAGGAAAGUAAAACUUCCUACACGGUGGACUUGGCUAUAUGCUGGAAAAUCCGUUAAGUAUCCGGCACUACUACUAACAUAGGAGUAAAGACAAUGAAGUAUUUGUUUGAUUACAGAGUGAAGGUCGCGAGUAAGUUCGAGGAGCGUCAAAGAGAAUUUUCUGCGGAAAGUGAUGCACUAGCAUCCAUUGAAUCAGAAAGAAUUCUCCGUAAGGCGCAAGAAGAAUUUCCUUUUGCGCCACCCUCUGUCAAAGGAGUACUCUACCGUCUGGAACCUGUGCAUGAGUGGUGAAAAAGUGACCGGUGCGGACAAUCAGCAGGGAAGUCGUUCCUUCAAGGGAAUUGACCCCUCAGAGACUACAUGCCGAGCCCCAGCAUUUUAAUUCGCGGAUAUCGAGCAAUCGAUGUCCGUAUCUUAAAGUGCUGGGUGAAGAUAUAGUCCGACCUCACGGGCGACCGUGAGAGCACAGCAGAAAUGCUUGUGCCCGCAACAAUUGUUGGUUGUAAGUUGUUUGUUGUCGGUAACAUAAGUGACCCCAGUAGUCCACGCCCUAAACGAUGAUGACUGGCUUUUCGGAGUAUCGACCCUCUGAUAGGCGAAGCUAACGCGUUAAGUCAUCCGCCUGGGAAGUACGGCCGCAAGGCUAAAACUCAAAGGAAUAGACGGGGAUCUGCACAAGCAGUGGAUUAUGUGGUUUAAUUCGAUGGUAAACGAAGAACCUCACCAGGAUUUGAAACUCACUUGAAAUAUUUAGGAAACUUUAUAUGUCUCACAAGGACAAGUGGGCAGGUGAUGCAUGGCCGUCGUCAGUUCGUGGUUUGAAUUGUUCCCUUAAGUGGGGCAACGAACGCAACCCUCGUCGUCUGUUAUAAGUGUCAGGCGAGACCGCCCAACUCCAAGCGCGCAAGCGCGCUAACUAAUAACAAUUAACAAAUAACUAAUAACCAAUCCGGUUAAAAGUCAUAAUUUAUAAGUUAAAUGUUAGCGAAUAUUUGUUCGCUUUGAGUUGGGAGGAAGGAGAGGAUGACGCCAGGUCAGCAUGUCCCUCUGAUAUCCUGGGCUACACACAUAAUACAAUGGCAAUUACAACGGGUCGCGACGCGGUAACGCCGAGCCAAUCCUUAUAAAAAUUGCCCCAGUUCAGAUUGUGGUCUGCAACUCGACCACAUGAAGUCGGAAUUGCUAGUAAUCCCGGGUCAGCUAUACCGGGGUGAAUACGUUCUCAGAUCUUGUACUCACAAUAAAAGCGCGCAGCAGCGCAUAAUUCUAGGGGGUUAAAGUCCCUUCCUCUUUUUC
rnacentral:ncRNA from 1 species